rnacentral:rRNA from 1 species
AUUGAACGCUAGCGGGAUGCUUUACACUUGCAGGUCGAACGAGUGGCGGACGGGUGAGUAAUAUAUCGGAACGUGCGCAGUAGCGGGGGAUAACUACUCGAAAGAGUGGCAAAUAACGCAUACUAUUGGAGCGGCCGAUAACGGAUGAGCUAGGUGGUGGGGUGAAGGCUCACAAGGGCAGCGAUCCGUAGCUGGUUUGAGAGGACGACCAGCCACACUGGGACUGAGACACGGCCCAGAAUCCUACGGGAGGCAGCAGUGGGGAAUUUUGGACAAUGGGGUAAACCCUGCUCCAGCCAUCCCGCGUGUAUGAGAAGGCCUUCGGGUUGUAAAGUACUUUUGGCAGAGAAGCGGUAUCUGCAGAAUAAGCACCGGCUAACUACGUGCCAGCCGCCGCGGUAAUAC